rnacentral:rRNA from 1 species
AUACGGAGGAUCCAAGCGUUAUCCGGAUUUAUUGGGUUUAAAGGGAGCGUAGGUUGAUAUAUAAGUCAGCUGUGAAAGUUUACGGCUCAACCGUGAAAUUGCAGUUGAUACUGUAUGUCUUGAGUGUACAAGAGGUGGGCGGAAUUCGUGGUGUAGCGGUGAAAUGCUUAGAUAUCACGAAGAACUCCAAUUGCGAAGGCAGCUCACUGGGGUACAACUGACACUGAGGCUCGAAAGUGUGUGUAUCAAACAGGAUUAGAUACGCUGGUAGUCCGCACGGUAAACGAUGAUUACCCGCUGUCGGCGGUAGACAGUCGGCGGCCAAGCGAAAGCGAUAAGUAAUCCACCUGGGGAGUACGCCGGCAACGGUGAAACUCAAAGGAAUUGACGGGG